AUUGAACGCUGGCGGCAGGCCUAACACAUGCAAGUCGAACGAGUGGCGGACGGGUGAGUAAUGUCUGGGAAACUGCCUGAUGGAGGGGGAUAACUACUGGAAACGGUAGCUAAUACCGCAUACCCUCGGAUGUGCCCAGAUGGGAUUAGCUAGUAGGGGGGGUAACGGCUCACCUAGGCGACGAUCCCUAGCUGGUCUGCGAGGAUGACCAGCCAGACUGGAACUGAGACACGGUCCAGACUCCUACGGGAGGCAGCAGGGGGGAAUAUUCCGCAAUGGGGGCAAGCCUGAGGGAGCCAGGCCGCGUGUAUGAAGAAGGCUUUCGGGUUGUAAAGUACGGUCAGCGGGGAGGCGUUACCCGCAGAGGAAGCACCGGCUAACUCCGUGCCAGCCGCCGCGGUAAUAC
rnacentral:rRNA from 1 species